AGAAAGAGAGAAUUCAGAGAGUCCGAGGUUGUGAGAGAUAUGCAGUGUGUGUUGGUGUGUUCAAAAGAAAGGUGAGGAGUAUUUAUAGUACUGAAAAUGAGUGAACAAAGAAGGUAUCAAUUCAUAUUUAAGGAACUGAGUAUCAAUCAUAAUCAAAUAAGCAAAUGGACUCCCCUUUAAUUAAGGAAUCAAAGUCGAACGGUAAUCAGCAGUCAUUUUAAAAGGAAAGGAAUCACAAACUAUGGCAUGGUCACAUAAGGAAAUAAAAUAGUAUAAGGCAUACAAUGAAGACUAGGUGCAUGAUACUUAACCAGGGAAAUAUGUCAAGCAAAUAAAUCAACANNNN
rnacentral:lncRNA from 1 species